AUUGUUUUGACGUUACCUACAGAAGAAGGACCGGCUAACUCCGUGCCAGCAGCCGCGGUAAUACGGAGGGUCCGAGCGUUAAUCGGAAUUACUGGGCGUAAAGCGUGCGCAGGCGGUUUGUUAAGCGAGAUGUGAAAGCCCCGGGCUCAACCUGGGAAUUGCAUUUCGAACUGGCGAACUAGAGUCUUGUAGAGGGGGGUAGAAUUCCAGGUGUAGCGGUGAAAUGCGUAGAGAUCUGGAGGAAUACCGGUGGCGAAGGCGGCCCCCUGGACAAAGACUGACGCUCAGGCACGAAAGCGUGGGGAGCAAACAGGAUUAGAUACCCUGGUAGUCCACGCCGUAAACGAUGUCUACUCGGAGUUUGGUGUCUUGAACACUGGGCUCUCAAGCUAACGCAUUAAGUAGACCGCCUGGGGAGUACGGCCGCAAGGUUAAAACUCAAAUGAAUUGACGGGGCCC
rnacentral:rRNA from 1 species